GGCUCAGGAUGAACGCUGGCGGGUGCUUAACACAUGCAAGUCGAACGAUGAAGCCCAGCUUGCUGGGUGGAUAGUGGCGAACGGGUGAGUAACACGUGAGUAACCUGCCCUUAACUCUGGGAUAAGCCUGGGAAACUGGUCCUAAUACCGGAUAAGGAGCGUCCACCGCAUGGUGGGUGUUGGAAGAUUUAUCGGUUUUGGAUGGACUCGCGGCCUAUCAGCUUGUUGGUGAGGUAAUGGCUCACCAAGGCGACGACGGGUAGCCGGCCUGAGAGGGUGACCGGCCACACUGGGACUGAGACACGGCCCAGACUCCUACGGGAGGCAGCAGUGGGGAAUAUUGCACAAUGGGCGAAAGCCUGAUGCAGCGACGCCGCGUGAGGGAUGACGGCCUUCGGGUUGUAAACCUCUUUCAGUAGGGAAGAAGCGAAAGUGACGGUACCUGCAGAAGAAGCACCGGCUAACUACGUGCCAGCAGCCGCGUAAUACGUAGGGUGCGAGCGUUAUCCGGAAUUAUUGGGCGUAAAGAGCUCGUAGGCGGUUUGUCGCGUCUGUCGUGAAAGUCCGGGGCUUAACCCCGGAUCUGCGGUGGGUACGGGCAGACUAGAGUGCAGUAGGGGAGACUGGAAUUCCUGGUGUAGCGGUGGAAUGCGCAGAUACAGGAGGAACACCGAUGGCGAAGGCAGGUCUCUGGGCUGUAACUGACGCUGAGGAGCGAAAGCAUGGGGAGCGAACAGGAUUAGAUACCCUGGUAGUCCAUGCCGUAAACGUUGGGCACUAGGUGUGGGGACCAUUCCACGGUUUCCGCGCCGCAGCUAACGCAUUAAGUGCCCCGCCCUGGGGAGUACGGCCGCAAGGCUAAAACUCAAAGGAAUUGACGGGGGCCCGCACAAGCGGCGGAGCAUGCGGAUUAAUUCGAUGCAACGCGAAGAACCUUACCAAGGCUUGACAUGUUCCCGAUCGCCGUAGAGAUACGAUUUCCCCUUUGGGGCGGGUUCACAGGUGGUGCAUGGUUGUCGGUCAGCUCGUGUCGUGAGAUGUUGGGUUAAGUCCCGCAACGAGCCGCAACCCUCGUUCCAUGUUGCCAGCACGUAAUGGUGGGGACUCAUGGGAGACUGCCGGGGUCAACUCGGGGAAGGUGAGGACGACGUCAAAUCAUCAUGCCCCUUAUGUCUUGGGCUUUCACGCAUGCUACAAUGGGCCGGUACAAUGGGUUGCGAUACUGUGAGGUGGAGCUAAAUCCCAAAAAGCCGCGUCUCAGUUCGGAUUGGGGUCUGCAACUCGACCCCAUGAAGUCGGAGUCGCUAGUAUUCGCAAUCAGCAACGCUGCGUGAAUACGUUCCCGGGCCUUGUACACACCCCCGUCAAGUCACGAAAG
rnacentral:rRNA from 1 species